UCCCUGGUAGCUUAGAUGGUAAAGAAACCACCUACAAUGUGGAAGACCUGGGUUCGAUCCCUGGGUUGGGAA
rfam:Ovis aries breed Texel chromosome 17, whole genome shotgun sequence.